CCCUACGGGGCGCCUUGAUGGAAGCGCGCCAUGGCGCGCGCGCUGUUUUCGCGGUGAGGGAUAGAAUGCCCUUUUUACUCGCAAUCAUGCACGUGUUGGGGUAUUGUUGAUUAAAGGGCGGUUUUCCGGGUGGUUGAGCGCGGCGCCCUUGACGGGGAAAUGACGCUGUUUCGGUGGGGAGCUUCUUAUUUUCUUUGUGCUGGAGAGACGACUGGCGCCGCAACUUUUUUCGAUGACCGUCGCCGGACUUCGCUCAUUCGAGUGAUGCCGCGCAGCUCUUUUCGCCUGCCGUCGCCUUUGCUUUUCUCUUUCCGCCGGAACAAAUAAUGACAUACAGCCGUUUCUAUCGGGUUGUCUUGAGCCUUCCCAUGGCGAUGCGCUCGGUGCUGACUUGAAUCGUUCAUCUCUGAUGUGUUCGCGCCGCGCGGGGGGGC
rnacentral:rRNA from 1 species